AAAUUGAAGAGUUUGAUCAUGGCUCAGAUUGAACGCUGGCGGCAGGCCUAACACAUGCAAGUCGAACGGUAACAGGAAGCAGCUUGCUGUUUCGCUGACGAGUGGCGGACGGGUGAGUAAUGUCUGGGAAACUGCCUGAUGGAGGGGGAUAACUACUGGAAACGGUAGCUAAUACCGCAUAACGUCGCAAGACCAAAGAGGGGGACCUU
rnacentral:rRNA from 2 species